ACCACAUUACAUCUACGGUGUAGAUGUAGAUUAAGACUGGGGCGACAAAAAAUGAUCAUCAUUUUCCUCGAUUUUUACCCAAAUUCUGUCGAUAAAUGUAAAAUAUACAGUGAUCCACAGAGUAAACAUUUACAUAUAAAUUGGCAUCCUUUAAUAUCUUGAUUUGAAAGCGGAUUUUUGUAGUUGAAAUACUGAAAGGAGAAGGCUUACAGUUGUGUUCUGCUCAGCCGCCUCCAUGGUUGAGCAAAGAUUGGUACUCGGAUACUUAAAUAUAGAGAGACGCGCGGCGGAUUG
rnacentral:lncRNA from 1 species